GUGGGGAAUAUUGGACAAUGGGCGAAAGCCUGAUCCAGCCAUGCCGCGUGAGUGAUGAAGGCCUUAGGGUUGUAAAGCUCUUUCAGUAGGGAAGAUAAUGACGGUACCUACAGAAGAAGCCCCGGCUAACUUCGUGCCAGCAGCCGCGGUAAUACGAAGGGGGCUAGCGUUGUUCGGAUUUACUGGGCGUAAAGCGCACGUAGGCGGAUUGGUCAGUUAGGGGUGAAAUCCUGGAGCUCAACUCCAGAACUGACUUUAAUACUGCCAGUCUAGAGUCCAGAAGAGGUGAGUGGAACUCCUAGUGUAGAGGUGGAAUUCGUAGAUAUUAGGAAGAACACCAGUGGCGAAGGCGGCUCACUGGUCUGGUACUGACGCUGAGGUGCGAAAGCGUGGGGAGCAAACAGGAUUAGAAACCCGUGUAGUCC
rnacentral:rRNA from 1 species